GUGUGUGAGUGCUGGAUGAUGUGUGUGUGAGUGCUGGAUGAUGGGUGUGUGAGUGCUGGAUGAUGUGUGAGUGCGUGCUGGAUGAUGUGUGUGAGUGUGCUGGAUGAUGUGCGUGUGAGUGCUGGAUGAUGUGCGUGUGAGUGCUGGAUGAUGUGUGUGUGUGAGUGCUGGAUGAUGGGUGUGUGAGUGCUGGAUGAUGUGUGUGUGAGUGCUGGAUGAUGGGUGGGUGAGUGCUGGAUGAUGGGUGUGUGUGUGAGUGCUGGAUGAUGUGUGUGUGAGUGCUGGAUGAUGUGUGUGUGAGUGCUGGAUGAUGUGUGUGUGUGCGCUGGAUGAUGUGUGUGUG